AAAUUACAUUGCACACUCUUUUCUGAUAAAUUAAUCAAAUCAUAUAUAUGAAAAUUGACCAACUCUCUUCAUAUGAGUGAAUACAUCAUCACACCAGUGAAUGUCACAUGUUAUUCUAAAUUAAUAU
rnacentral:sRNA from 1 species